AUACGUAGGUGGCGAGCGUUGUCCGGAUUUACUGGGUGUAAAGGGCGCGUAGGCGGGCUUGCAAGUCAGAUGUGAAAUACCGGGGCUUAACCCCGGGGCUGCAUUUGAAACUGUGAGUCUUGAGUGUCGGAGAGGAAAGCGGAAUUCCUAGUGUAGCGGUGAAAUGCGUAGAUAUUAGGAGGAACACCAGUGGCGAAGGCGGCUUUCUGGAAGAUAACUGACGCUGAGGCGCGAAAGUGUGGGGAGCAAACAGGAUGAGAUACCCUGGUAGUCCACACCGUAAACGAUGGAUACUAAGUGUAGGAGGUAUCGACCCCUUCUGUGCCGCAGUUAACACAAUAAGUAACCCACCUGGGAAGUUCGGUCGCAAGACUGAUGCUCAAAUGAAGUGACGGGG
rnacentral:rRNA from 1 species